rnacentral:rRNA from 1 species
UGGGGAAUAUUGGACAAUGGGCGAAAGCCUGAUCCAGCCAUGCCGCGUGUGUGAAGAAGGCCUUCGGGUUGUAAAGUACUUUCAGCGAGGAGGAAGGCGGUAAGGUUAAUAACCUUAUCGAUUGACGUUACUCGCAGAAGAAGCACCGGCUAACUCCGUGCCAGCAGCCGCGGGAAUACGGAGGGUGCAAGCGUUAAUCGGAAUUACUGGGCGUAAAGCGCACGCAGGCGGUCUGUCAAGUCGGAUGUGAAAUCCCCGGGCUCAACCUGGGAACUGCAUUCGAAACUGGCAGGCUAGAGUCUUGUAGAGGGGGGUAGAAUUCCAGGUGUAGCGGUGAAAUGCGUAGAGAUCUGGAGGAAUACCGAUGGCGAAGGCGGCCCCCUGGACAAAGACUGACGCUCAGGUGCGAAAGCGUGGGGAGCAAACA